rnacentral:misc_RNA from 1 species
CCGAGUGUCGGGCCCUCUGGGUCCAACCUCCCACCCGUGUUUAUUGUACCCUGUUGCUUCGGCGGGCCCGCUGGUCCGCCAGCCGCCGGGGGGGCACCUGCCCCCCGGGUCCGCGCCCGCCGAAGACACCCUGAACGCUAUGUGAAGUAUGCAGUCUGAGCGAUUAUACCAAUCGUUA